rnacentral:rRNA from 1 species
GCCUUAGUAACUGCGAGUGAAGCGGCAAGAGCUCAAAUUUGAAAUCUGGCACCUUCGGUGUCCGAGUUGUAAUUUGUAGAAGCAUCUUUUGGAUUGGUCCUUGCAUAUGUUCCUUGGAACAGGACAUCAUAGAGGGUGAGAAUCCCGUUCAUGGUGGGGAACCCAAUUCUCUGUAAAGUGCUUUCGAAGAGUCGAGUUGUUUGGGAAUGCAGCUCUAAGUGGGUGGUAAAUUCCAUCUAAAGCUAAAUAUUGGCGAGAGACCGAUAGCGAACAAGUACAGUGAUGGAAAGAUGAAAAGAACUCCGAAAGGAGAGUGAAAAAGGACGUGAAAUUGUUGAAAGGGAAGUGCUUGAGAUCAGUCUUAAGGUCUAGUGAUCAGUCUUCCUUUUGGUUGGUGCACUCACUAUUCCUUAGGCCAACAUCAGUUUUGGCGGCAGGAUAAUGACAUUGGAAUGUGGCUCUUUCGGGAGUGUUAUAGCCUUUGUUGAUACUGUCUGCUUGGACUGAGGACCGCGCUUUUGCUAGGAUGUUGGCAUAAUGAUCUUAAGCAGCCCGUCUUGAAACACGGACCAAGGAGUCUAACAACUAUGCGAGUGUUUGGGUGUUAAACCCGUACGCAUAAUGAAAGUGAACGUAGGUGGGAACCUUUUGGUGCACCAUCGACCGAUCCUGAUGUAUUCGGAUGGAUUUGAGUAAGAGCAUAGCUGUUGGGACCCGAAAGAUGGUGAACUAUGCCUGAAUAGGGUGAAGCCAGAGGAAACUCUGGUGGAGGCUCGUAGCGAUUCUGACGUGCAAAUCGAUCGUCAAAUUUGA